GAUGAACGCUAGCUACAGGCUUAACACAUGCAAGUCGAGGGACCGGCGCACGUGUGAGUAACACGUAAACAACCUGCCCUUUACUCGGGGAUAGCCUUUCAAAAGAAAGCAUCAUACCAGAUAUAAAGGAUGGGGGUGCGUUCCAUUAGGUUGUUGGUGAGGUAACGGCUCACCAAGCAUUCGAUGGAUAGGGGUUCUGAGAGGAAGGCCCCCUACAUUGGAACUGAGACACGGUCCAAAAUCCUAGGGUAGGAAGCAGUGAGGAAUAUUGGUCAAUGGGCGCUAGCCUGAACCAGCCAAGUAGCGUGAAGGAUGAAGGAUUAUGGGUCGUAAACUUCUUGUAUAUAAGAAUAUGUAUUAUAUGAAUAAGGAUCGGCUAACUCCGUGCCAGCAGCCGCGGUAAUAC
rnacentral:rRNA from 1 species